CUCCCAAGGCUGCUCCUCCUCCCGGAGGAGAGCUUCUUCCUGCUCGUGUCCCCGGCAAAUGCUUCCCUCUCAGCCCCUCCACGCUCAAGGAACUCGUUCCGGUCCCAACCAGAGCCAGCCGCAGCGGGGAAGGGCAGAAACAAGUAGUAAUAAGCAAAGCACUUCCGGCUAAGCUGAGCCUGGGGGCGGGGCCCGCGGUGGCCGACGCCCUAUGUGGGCGUUCCGGCAAAGAGAGAGUCUAGUCCAGGGAAUCCUCUGGAAAAAAACGCUAAUGCGGCCGUGGAGGCGGUGGCGCGGAGGAUGAUUAGAUAAAGUGCGCUGCCCUCGGCGGAGGGAUUAUGUAGUUUGUAGAAAGGCAUCGUUACGAAACCCUCUACCCAAGGGAUUUCAGUUUUGUCCUGUUGGAUUUUUUUCCCUGAUGGCCCAUGACCUCACAGGAAUGCGAUGGAGCCGGCUCCCCGGGGAGCUCAGGCCUACUGUGGAUGUAGUGCCGAUGCCUUGGGCCUGAGCUGUGCACACUCCAGGGCGCGCCAUGGCUGUAGACCUCGAGGUCACCGACACCGUGCCCUUCCCCACCCCCACUUUCCUGUGUGUGGGCCCUCUCUUCCCACUCCCUCCGGGUGGGCUUUGCGGCAGCGCCCGACUGGUGACUUCAUGGGUGUGUCAAAAUAAUUCAAGGAACCUCAUUAACUUUAUUAACACAGUUAAGCAACAGUUCUACAACCUUUUUGGUCUAAGAGCAGAGGUUUCCAACUCAAAGACUGCUCACUUGGGAGCUCCUGGAACCAGAUUAAAAUAGAGGUCUCGGCUUUGAGUCAAGGACAUGGGGAUGCAGGGAGCCUCUCUCAAGAGGAUAGGUCUCUCCUGAGGCUAGCCUCUUCAGAAAAUCCAGGAAAGGAAUCAACUCUUUCACUCAUAAUGUGACAAUCCAAAGGGAGAGAUUUAAGGACAGUCUCACCAUGUACAGGGUCUCAGGUCCAGUCAGCAGAUUGUUUACCAGCCUCCAAUUUGAACUCAGAACUCCAGAAGAAGAUGAGGUCCCAAGCAUGGAGAGCUCUCUGAAGAUGUCCUCUGAAGAUUUCUGAAGAUCUCCCCACAGGAAGUUGUAACUCCCUUUUCAAGACACUUUCUUUUGUGUCACUUCCUGUGUCUUCCUCCAUUUUUUACAUCUACCAAUUACAGUUGAAGCUUUGCUUAGGACUGCCCAGGGAACAGUCAGUUUGAUUCUGAUUGGUCACCCACUAUUGCACACAUGGGUCACAGACAUCCCACUCAAUGAUUAAGUGGGAUGUUUUACACGUUUGGUGAUUAAAUCUAAAAAUGGGCAGGGGAGUUAAUUUAAUCUUCACAAAUCAGGGGAGAGUUAAUUUCAUUUUCACAAUCAGGGGAGAGCUAAUUUAAUCUUAACACAUUGCUCUGGGUUAUUGCAUUAUUUUAUUAACAGCUCUUCCCACUGUCAUUCUCACCAGUCCAAUAAUCCAACCUUUAGACUGCUUCCAGAUUUUCUUCUGUGGCUUCUUAAGUGGCUACUCUUUUUAAAAUCCUUUAGUGAUUCCUAAUUAACUAGUGAAUAAAGUUCAAGCACAAGUUUAGCCUGCUAAUAAA
ensembl:lncRNA